GAUCUGUAAUGUCAUUAUAAUCUAAUUUACAUUGCUGUUACUGAGGCUACCAUUGUGCACCUGACAUCAUGACAGUUCCGGAGGAAACAAAUAAGGACAAAAAGAGGGGAAACGAGAUCCCACCACUAGAAAGGAGGAGACAGGGUGACAUCUCCAAAUUCCUAAAAGAGAGAGAAGAUCCUUGAUAUCAGAAGAUCCUUGGUAGCAGCAUUAGGAGGACAAGCCUUCCAUCACACUUCCUGUCCAUUCCUACUCAGAUCCAGAAUCAGGGUUUAUCCCCCAUGUGUCUAUGAAGACUACAUUGGGUGAGCACCCUACCUCAGUUGCUUCCUCCAAGGUUCUCCUGUGUAACCCGGAAAAGGAACAGAUCACUUGUUUUUGGUUUGUGGCACCAUAGAAAGGAUCACAUUCAGCAGAGAGUUUUAAAAAUUGAUCUUUUGUACCAAGUCUUAGCUCAUGGAACUUCAAACAUCCCUGUAUGAAAACAUUAUUGAACACAAUGUGAAC